UACGUAGGGGGCGAGCGUUAUCCGGAUUUACUGGGCGUAAAGCGCGCUAAGGCGGCCGGCAAAGUUGGGGGUGAAACUCUCGGGGCUCAACCCGGAACUGCCUCCAAUACUGGUCGGCUGGAGUACGAGAGAGGAAGGUGGAAUUCCCGGUGUAGUAGUGAAAUGCGUAGAUAUCGGGAGGAACACCAGUGGCGAAGGCGGCCUUCUGGCUCGUAACUGACGCUGUAGCGGCGAAAAGCGUGGGGAGCGAACGGG
rnacentral:rRNA from 1 species